AUUUCUUGGGCCGCUUCCGCGGCACGUGGAAGUUUCCAGGCUAGGGGUCCAAUCGGAGCUGUAGCCACAGGCCCACGCCAGAACCACAGGAAUGCAGGAUCCGAGCCGAGUCUGCAACCUACACCACAGCUCACAGCAACGCCGGAUCGUUAACCCACUGAGCAAGGGCAGGGACCGAACCCGCAACCUCAUGGUUCCUAGUCGGAUUCGUUAACCACUGCACCACGACGGGAACUCCCUCUAUUUCAGCUUUAUUCAAGAGAGAGGAGAAUCCAUUCUGAGGACAUGAGUAUGCAUGAUUUCUAUGUGAACUCACAAAUUCCUCCUUCUUAGAGAAGACUGUAGGUUUUCUACUAUGUUGCCAUGUCUAAUACCAAGUAGAUACAAAUAGAAGGAUUCAUUACUCAACUGCCUCUCACUUUAAUAAAAAUGUCAGUUUUAAAAUUUGAGUGAAAGCAUGUACAUGUGCUAGUUUUAUAAAUAAAGAGUUAGGAGAAAGUCGAUCAAUGUUAGCGAUGUAUUUUCAGGGGGACCGUUAGGGUGUUUGCACUCCUCUCCCAAAUCUACUUCAUGGAUUCAGAAAUCAAAGGGUAUCAGAUGAAAAAGUUUCUUUGGUCUGAAUAUUCACCUGUUAGCACAGAUCUCAUCUAAAAAAAAAAAAAGUAUUUGUGCAGAUUCUUUCUCUCCUUCCUAUGCUUAUUUUUGAUGUAAAUGACUUGCUAACAUUGAGCUUCAUUAACUCUAAAACAUCUGAGCCUCACCUUUUUUUCUAUUUUCAAUGUUCAAAGAAGUGUUUCAAAAAUUAUGAAAAAUUAUUUCUAGUAAGACUAAAGUCACAGCAUGCAAGUGAUCUGGGGCCCAGGCAUCCAUAUUCUGUCAUCACAUAACUAACGAUAAACAUAUCACACAUUUUCUAUCUCUAUGAAGGAAGUAUUUUCCAACUCCAAAGUUUAGUAUGAUAAUAUCAUUCUGGUAUGACUUUUCUUUCCUUUUCACAGUUUUCUUAACUCUGCUUUUUCUAGACACCCCCAAGAAAUUUAUGGCAGCAACUAUUUAUUAAUGAUAGUCAUAGGUAGCAUUAAUUUUUGUAGCAUGGAGGGAAGAAUGGGUCAGUGUGGGUCUUGGGUGCCCCAGGUGAGUUAGAUGGUAGAGAUGUCAGGGAAAUUGGGAGAGCAUAACUGCAGAAUCUGGAAGAUGCUAAGACUGCUCUACCAGCCAAAAUGGUCAAUACUUGGUCUUCUCCUCUGUUUAACCCCCAUCUCCCAUUACCCCCUCCCCACACACAUGUGGGCCCAUAUGACUUCUCAAAGUCUCUGAUGACAUAACACCUUCUUUAAAAUUUUAGGGACCAGCUCUGGCUCCCUGUUGUCUGUUCAUCAAGCCUUCAUUCUUUGGACAAAUGUUCUAUGCCCUCCACGACCUUCUUUCUUCCAGCCUACAUCAUUUCCAAUUACUCUUCAAGAUGAACCAUCACCAUGAGCUAAACAGAGCUGCCACCGAUUUUGAGAGAUAAUGCCCUACUUGAGGUUCCAGAAAGCUGGGCACAAAGUAGCAGUUCACAACAAGAGAAAGAGGCCAAGGUGCAGGUACUGAAUUAGAUUAUACAUGAUCUCAAGAGGGCCUUUACAUGUUAGAGGCUUUAACACUAAUCUAAAAUAUAAUCUCAUCCUGGAUACUCUACAAUUGUGAAUGUCAUAGCAUGGACCGGUGGGUGUUUCAGGUAAGUCUGAAGAGCACUGCCACCUUCCGUUUUCAAUUACUGAAUGAAUGAAACAACAACAAUUUACUGAGUACCUGCAAUGUCUCAGGCUCUCAUCUAAGUAUCUGUAUUUUAGGUAUUUAAUACUUACAGUGAAUCAGUGAGACAAGGCAAUAAUUAUGCUCACAUUACAGAUAAGAAGUCUGAGUACCAAUGAGACUAAGUGACCUACCCAAGGGCAAACAGUUAGUAAGUGAACAGGGAUUCCAACUUAGAUUUUUUGACUUCUUUGAGAAGGUGGGCUUCCUGGAGGAGGUGGUUUGAUUUUUCCACUUGAAUGAAGAUCUUUUGAUGACUUAAGACUUCUGAAUAUUUGAUUAAUUUAUUAGUAUGCUACCCUUGUCAUUUGCAAACUGUAUAAAACUCAGUUAAUUUCAAUACUCCUGCACAGAUUCACCCCAUUUUUCCUUCUUCUGCACUGGUAAACUUCAAGAGGUCAGGGAAUAAAACUAUGUCUCUAACCAUUUUAUAUUCAAUGUCUAGCACAGUACCUUGCACAUGAAUGGGGAUCAAUGUCUCUGAAAUGAAUAAAUGAAAAGCAGGUCCUAGCUUCAGGUUUGCACCAAUGUUUCUGAGCAUCCUAGAGAAGCAGACAAGCCAACUCGCUCAGGAGCACUAAGCAAGUGAUUGCAAGAGCAAGAUGUUUCUGGAUACUUAUGCAUCUAGACCAGAACCAUGUGAUAAGUCUAGAUUAAAAUACAUCUGGAGAAGGCAGGUUUAGACCUCUGUCCUCAAAUGCUCAAAAUUGAUCUGAUUCCAUCUUCCAAUGCAUUUCUUAUGGACUACACCAAGACACUGAUGAUGUAAAUAAAACAUGCAGGUUUCUUGCAGAAACAUUACUCCACUAUCCUUCAUGCAAUAAUGCAGUACUUUGUAACAAGCUUUAUAAUGAGGCUAUGAAUUAAAGUGAUGCAUGGCUUUUCUGAGGUACAAUAUGCAUCACAACAGCCUGUAUUAACAAUUUAAAACCAUAUAAUGUGCUUUAUAAGCUAAUAAAGUAGCUGCUUCUAAAUGAUUUAUCAAAUAUGAAUAAUGCAGCCAGAAAUAACUUACAGGAACAGGGCCAGCCUCCUCCCUUCCUUUGCUAACUGGCUUCUUUCUAUCCACAGAUGAUACGAAAGACACAUACAGGCUGAGUUACUGAGUUCCGGCCACCAGUCUCCCGCUCUGCCAGGAAGCCUGCUUGAGUUCUCCCCAGAGAAUUAUCACCUCUUCCUGAUGGUCCAGCCACCCUCUCUGCUUCUUCCCACUUCUGCCUCUCUCUCUCCCUCUUUAGAGUCCCCUCUAAGCUUCUCCCAUUUUGGAGUCUUCCUCACCUCAUUCCCCCAUCUUUCCUGUACUAUUCAAGUUUCAAUACAGAGCAGUGCUAUACAGGAGAUCAAGCAGUCAUAGCUUCAAUGGUCAGAAGGAGAACUUGGAGGGCUUCUGGUUCAAAAAGAGGACAGUUACACAUGGCUUUUAGGCUUCUGAGGGAUAUCCACAUAAGAAUUUAAACUACCUAAACUUCUACAUACCAGCUAGAUUUCAUGCCUAGUACUUUACCUUCUGAACAUUGCCUUUGUGAAAUCUAACAGUAUCUGAAGACUCGGAACAUGCUGCAUCUCUGUUUGAGCUUUUUUUGGGGGCGGUUGAUUUCGGAAAUAAAUAUACAUGUAUAUAAAACCAAAAGCAUACAAGGAGACAUUUUCAAGAGAAUGUUGCUCCUACUUGAUGAUGAGAACCCACCAGCUCUUUAGAAACCUACCAGAUAGACAAAACAAGCUAAAUAAAUUUAAUUUCAAAUUGUCACAAGCUCUUGCCAGGAGGAAAAAAAAAAAAAAGAUUCAUGACUACUACAAUCCCUAGCAGAGAAGCACAGGUGAACAAACUCAGCAUAGGCUGAGAUACUGAAGAAACAGCUGACUUUCUACAAAUGCAUGAAAUGUAGGUGGAGGCUGACAAAAUGGAUUAGGAUUCUGGAGAGCCCUAGCCAAGACUGUGACUGAACCACCACAAAAACUCAUUCCCAUAACAAAUGCAAAGGAGUCAUGUGCAGAGGCUGCAGGCUGGGUAGAAAGCUGAGGAAAAUUCCUUUUUCACAAGUAUAUUACAGCUUUCCUCUGAAAGUUAGAAUGUAACUUGGGCAGCCAAGAGAAAAGAGAUCUCUACAGAAAUCAAGGGGUGGAAAAGCAAGGGGCAGAAAUGGGAAUAGACAACAAAGAGAAUUCCCAGCAACCCAGAAGCCUAUGCUCAUCUAUAAAGUAGGAAGAGGCCGCUCAGCAUUCAGAAAGCUGGAAGUUUGUCUGUAGUACACGAAGGGAACUCUGGAAGAGCCCUACUGUUCUUAUUCUCAGCUUUUCUAAAGGACAAGUUCUGAUAUGGUCCUCAAAAUUUUGAAAUUAGGGGUAAAUUAAAUCAAAUAAGCCUUUCAUAAUACCCAGACCCAGACCAUCAAAAAAUUAAAUUCAGUCAGACCCCUUCUCCCACUAUUAUCUUAACAGAAGAGGUGGCAUGACCCCUGCCCCCUGCUUUUGUAAUUAGACAUUGUUUAUGUCAGUGUAAACUUUACUCCCCUUUUACCCACAAUGCCUGGCAUUCAAUCAAAAGUUUUCAAGCCACAGGAUGAAGCGAGGGACUACAUCUCCUGCUCAAGAGAGAAAACACUCAAGAGAUGACACAGAUGAAAUGAAGAGACAGGGACAUUAAAAUAAUUUUGAUGAAGUGUCUACUUGUAGUCCAGGUGGAGUUACUUUUACCUUCCCCAGCCUUCCUGUCAUUACAGGAAAAAUUAAAAUUAGAUAAAAUGCAUGGUUAGAUGGUUUUUAGGCAGUAGAAAAUAGGUAGCGCAGAACUUAGACGCUAAUAGAAAGGAACUCAUGAGUGAAGUUCCUUGAUCAUUGACUUGACGAAAUUUUCCUUAUUGGGCAAAAAUUGAUGCAGCUCUGAGUAGAGCAGUAUGUCUUAUUGAAUUUAAGAAGAAAUCAGAAUUUGAAGCUGUUGAAAUGGGUCAAAUCUAUGGAAUAAGAUAUUCGGGGAGUGGAAACUGUGAAUAACUGAAUUUUGGGGCACAUAAUUCACUAUGGAUGUCCCCUGUGAAGCUGUGGUUGAGAAAUGGAAUUUAAGUGUUCAGGAAGAGACCAGCCAAGACUUCCUGGAGGGAGAGUAGCCUCUGUGGUUGAGAGUAGAACAGAGCUACUAGAGGUUGAACACUGCUGGGGGAAAAAUAAUGCUGAGGGGUACUGAAGCACUGGCUGGGC
rnacentral:lncRNA from 1 species